GACGAACGCUGGCGGCGUGCCUAAUACAUGCAAGUAGAACGCUGAAGAGAGGAGCUUGCUCUUCUUGGAUGAGUUGCGAACGGGUGAGUAACGCGUAGGUAACCUGCCUUGUAGCGGGGGAUAACUAUUGGAAACGAUAGCUAAUACCGCAUAACAAUGGAUGACACAUGUCAUUUAUUUGAAAGGGGCAAUUGCUCCACUACAAGAUGGACCUGCGUUGUAUUAGCUAGUAGGUGAGGUAAUGGCUCACCUAGGCGACGAUACAUAGCCGACCUGAGAGGGUGAGCGGCCACACUGGGACUGAGACACGGCCCAGACUCCUACGGGAGGCAGCAGUAGGGAAUCUUCGGCAAUGGGGGCAACCCUGACCGAGCAACGCCGCGUGAGUGAAGAAGGGUUUCGGAUCGUAAAGCUCUGUUGUAAGUCAAGAACGGGUGUGAGAGUGGAAAGUUCACACUGUGACGGUAGCUUACCAGAAAGGGACGGCUAACUACGUG
rnacentral:rRNA from 1 species